CGCCCGUUACCCAGGAUUCCAUCGCUGGCGAUAUCCUUUUGCAGUUGGUCAUCCCUGAUGAAAUUCAAAACCGUCAAGUAGCCACUGCGAUGCCUCACCUGACCACAAAAAAGAUCUCCACCAUGCUGGGCCAGUAGGUAUGCCGCAUGGUCAUGGACGACAACUUGCCGAGCAUCUCGACCGAGGGAUCCACGGAGAAGUACUUGUACCAGAUCACAUGGACGCCAAUCAAUGAGAAGGCGGUGAGCACCCUCAGUCCGUUGACGGGUCUAUUCUCCAGGCUGGGAUUCACCGGCUUCCAGGCCAGCUGCCAGUUGUAGCCGAAAUCGAAGCAGGCCAGGAUGCUGCCCAGGACUGGUGAUCCUGCCAAGCUCUUCGCAGUUCCAGCAGCUGUUCCUCGCACUUGGACAGAGUGGUGUUUUCACGUUGGGCAACCAUUACAAUUAGGUCCUUGGCCAGGAACUUUGGUUCACAGUUAUCGACAUCGCCGAGCACAGCGACAAUUUGGAUAAGGAGCAGAACGAGUAGCAUGAUUACGAUCGAUGGAUUGGAUGGAUGGCAGAACACCUCAGUACUCCACGACGGACGUCGCACAACUAAUUCUGUGCCCGGGAUGAAGCAAAGUCUAUGCGACCCACAUAACCUCCGUUUAGUUAAGACCGAGUGAUCCAUGACGCUUUUUAAGAUCCGAUCAGUCGAUUUAUGGUCACAUCUGUACUAAACCUUAGCUUGUUUUGCAGUUAGCACCAAUGACAGCAUGUUGGACUCCUCGACUGAGGUUUACCUGGUACGGGCACGGAUAACCCAUUUGUCUCGGAAAUUACUUUUACUUUUAUUGGUUUAAACAAUGCUUGAAAUCGUAAACACUAAUAAUAAGCACUCAGGAACAUAAUCAGUCUAUUAAAAAACAAUAAAUAUACUGCAAAUAGUAAUAAAACAAAUAACAACUA